AUGGCAGUAGCUCAGUGGUUAAGACCUUGGACCUCUGAUCGGAAGGUGAGUUCAAAUCCCAGCACUGCCAAG